GGAAUUAUUUCUCAAACCGUAUUCACUUUAUAGCCCUUAAUCCUGUAAUUGUGGACAAAUGUGGGCACAGAGGACUCAGGUGUGAUCCUAAUUUUUAUGUAUUAUAAAUGUUAUAUCACUGUCUUCGAUAAAGUUUUGUCUAUCCAUUUAUGGUGUUUAUUUUGGGGGUAUUUUUGAAUUUAUUUACUUCAAAAAGUACUAUAUUUUCUAUGUAAAUUAUGCUUAUUUUUAUGUUUUAUUUUUUUAACUACAUUAAAAUAUUCCAAUAAGUUCUUAGAGCUAAAACCUAAAGAUGAAGUGACUUUGCUGUCACCUGGUGUCUUAUUUUGAAGAAUGCUCUAAAUUACAGUUUUCCCAUUCAUUUCUAUGGGUGCCCAUUUUUGACCCAAAUACAAGAUUAAGGAGUUUUUUUUUUCACCCACUUAACAUUGUAGAAUUGAGUCAAAAAAUGUUUUGUGUGUUCAGGAGGCAAACUUAGGAAAAGUAGCCAAGUCUUGUACCGCUCGGAUCAAGGGAAGUAUUU